UGCGGGAAUCUAAAAAAAUAAAAAGUAACUAAGCGGGAUCCGUGAACAGAACCCCCAAUGAGACCCCCAUUAGUUGUGGCUUAUUUUGGUUCUUUUUAGUUCGUUUCUUUCCCCUACAUUACUUGACCGUUUUUGUAAAACAACAGCACUCGAGGUCUGACAGUAUUUUACCAAGAAAUGCACAAAAUAUUCAAAAAGAAGGCCUAGAAAAUUUAAAUAUUGGACAAGAACUAUAGAAGCUACAGAGAAAAAAUAUACAGCAGAAAUGAUAGGCAAUGUAAAAUUUGCAGAAGCCAACUAAACCUAAAUGGUGAUCAGACAUCUCGGUUUUCAUGAUCAAUAGGUCAUUACUGAAGAGGAAACUUAAAGUUGAAAUUUAUUUACAUAGUGCAUAAUUGGAUUAAUUUGAAAUGGAAUGUGUGCUUUCCUGCAAAAAAGAAAUAGGAAAUUUCAACAUGUGAUAAUGACCAUAUAAAACAAAAUGGAGUUCUAUCAUAGAUACCCGAAAACACUAUUGCAUAAAAGCAACAACAUAUCUUAAUCAAAACAAAGGAGAAUGCAGAACAAAAAAGGAACACCAGUUUUAUCCACUCAUUUACA